AACGAACGCUGGCGGCAGGCCUAACACAUGCAAGUCGAGCGCUCUCUUCGGAGGGAGCGGCGGACGGGUUGGUAACGCGUGGGAAUGUACCCUUCUCUAAGGAAUAGCCAUUGGAAACGAUGAGUAAUACCUUAUACGCCCCCCGGGUCAAACUGGGGGGGAAAGAUUUAUCGGAGAGGGAUCAGCCCGCGUAAGAUUAGAUAGUUGGUGGGGUAAUGGCCUACCAAGUCUACGAUCUUUAGCUGGUUUUAGAGGAUGAUCAGCAACACUGGGACUGAGACACGGCCCAGACUCCUACGGGAGGCAGCAGUGGGGAAUCUUGGACAAUGGGCGCAAGCCUGAUCCAGCCAUGCCGCGUGAGUGAUGAAGGCCUUAGGGUCGUAAAGCUCUUUCGCCAGAGAUGAUAAUGACAGUAUCUGGUAAAGAAGUCCCGGCUAACUCCGUG
rnacentral:rRNA from 1 species